rnacentral:lncRNA from 1 species
GGGGGGGGUACCUGAUGGGGGUGGAGACGGCGUGGGGAUGGCGGCUGCGGGGUCGGCAAGGAUGGCGGAUGCGGGGUCGGGUUGCGGGGUCGGCGGGAAUGGCGCGUGGGUCGGCGGGGAUGGAGGGGUGUUUUUGUAAAACGGUGACGCAGGCGUGUGAGAUGCUCGACGGGUUGAUUAGAAGAAGAAUAGUGACCUUUUUGUAAAAUUAUGACGCAUUACGAUCGUUGAAACUGGUGCUUUAAGUAUAGUAUAGAUUACUAGAUGAGUGUCCGUGCUUUGCAACGAAUAUAUAAUACCAUGAUAAUUUAUAUGUAAAAUAUGUUAUACUCUUAUGGGAAAAUGUUUCAUAAUCCAUUUGUGAUCCUUGCUGUACAUAAAUUUUUAUUAUUUUAAUCUAUUUGUAUCACUACUACAUUGCAACCAUCAGUACCAUGCAGACUUCAAUAUAUAUCACGAUUUGCAUAGCCUCGUCGUUGGAGAUCACGUCCCACACCUGCCGGAAGAAGUUUCCUCGUAUAUCGUCAGUCAUCAGACAUGCACCACCAUACACGCUUGCUUAAAAGAGCAAGUGUGUGUUUGCGAAAAGAAUUAAAGUCGGGCCGGCACAAAAGCUACUCUGACGGUAGCGAUGAUGACAAACUGGUCAUUGCUGUCGAUCCUCUUCUGCGUUCCCUCCGGCGCCGAGAUGACGCCACAGUUCUUGAUAUAGUAGUCGUCGAACGCGCGCGACAUGGUGAGUCCCGACGACUCUUGGUUGGGCUACCAGACGAAGUGCACUCCCGGACUCAUCAGCGAGGUAGUACACCUGACCAUUGCACCACGGAUGCACUACUCCUCCGCAUACAUCAUGUUCGAGAACACUCACACAACGUCAGCAACGGUCGUUGUCCCAACGCACAAGAAUUCAUGGCCGGUCAGUAGCGUCUUACGUGGCAGGUUGGGCUUCAGGUGGACGAUGAGCUGGACGGCGUGAUGGAGUCGUCAUCAGAUGCGGUGCCUAGAACAACUUAGGAGUCACUGACGUUGGCGACUAACAUAAGUCCCACUACUUGACGAUGGAUAGCGCGGUGCAGCGCUCUGGACCGCGUCCAAGCACCUCCUGCUAGUUGUGUUUGUUCGAGGUUUACAAGUAAGAAAUAUGGAUUUAUCCUUGGCGUUGGUUUAUGAAAAUGACUCACAAGUUAGAUCCAUGGAAAAAAUAUUACAGAGAAUAAAUGCCACACAUGCAAAAAAUGAAUUUAAGUUGAAAACAUUAUUCAAACAAAAGAAAUUGCAUGCAAGGCUCUUCUUUAAAUACUACUCUCUCCAUCCAAAAAUAUAAUUCAAGAAUCUCAGUGAUACUUAUCUACUAAUUUGUGUUGUGCAAGAGUAGCAGAUGGGCUUGAAGAGAGAUGUAGUAGAUGUUUUUCUAUCAUAAAUGUAGAUAGAAACACACAUAUAACGUCUGAUUGGUUGGGUGGACGCACGUAGCCGAGCCCGUGCGAGCUAGGCGCGCUGGAAACAGGAUGUCGUCUACGUAUCUGCGCAUGCAGUGAGAGAAGUCGAUUCUAGCUUGCGCAUGUAGCUGCCGGUGCAGCUUUGUCUCCGUGAACACAUGUAACCAAACAGAGGCUGUCGCUUAGUCAACGCAUCCGGAGAGUCCAGCUUAGGGUGCACACGAAACCAAUCAGGCGAAUAGUGUAGCGUUAGUUACUACUUGUCGGUGUUUCGAGACCGGGGGGUCCCUAAGCUGACGAGUGAAUGUCGCCGCGUGCCCCAGCCCAGAUGGGUCGACGCGAGGCCGAGCGUGAAGGGGGGAAGUGAUGUGGCCGGAGAUGGGCGUGAGAGAGGUGGAAAUCCCGCGGCCUUCGUGUUUGUCUCGCGCCCAGGUCGGGUGCGCUUGCAGUAGGGGGUUACAAGCGUCCACGCGGGAGAGGGAGCGAGCGGCCUCACGCGAGCGCCUGUCUCGUCCUCGUCCCCGCGCGGCCAACCCCUUCUAAGAGGGCCCUGGUCCUUCCUUUUAUAGGCGUAAGGAGAGGAUCCAGGUGUACAAUGGGGGCGCAGCAGAGUGCUACGUGUCUAGCGGAGGAGAGCUAGCGCCCUAAGUACAUGCCGUUGUGGCAGCCGGAGAGAUUUUGGCACCCAGCUGGUGUGAUGUCGUGGCCGUCGGAGGAGCGAUGGAGCCUGGCGGAGGGACAACUGUCGGAGCUGUUGAGUCCUUGCUGACGUCCUCUUGCUUCCGUAAGGGGGCUGAGAGCCGCCGUCGUCACAGAGUAUGCGGGGCGCCAUCAUUGCCUAUCUGGCGGAGCGAGCCAGAUGGGACGCCGGUCUUGUCCCCCGUGGCCCGAGUCAGCUCGGGGUAGGGUGAUGAUGGCGCCUCCUGUCGACGUGGCUGGUCUGCGCCCUAGGUUGGGCGAUGUGGAAGCUCCUCCGAAGCCGAGGUCGAGUCUGUCUUCCGUGGCCGAGGUCGAGUCCGAGCCCCCGGGUCGGGCGAGGCGGAGACCGUCGGCUGAGGCCAGGGUCUUCCGGGGCUUAGCCCGAGUCCGAGCCCUGGGUCGGGCGGAGCGGAGUUCGCCGUCUUCCGGGGCUUAGCCCGAGUCCGAGCCCUGGGUCGGGCGAAGCGGGGCUUCCUAUGGUGCCUGCGGCCGGGCCUGACUGCCUGUCAGCCUCACUCUGUCAAGUGGCACCGCAGUCGGAGCGGCGCAGGCGGCGCUGUCUUUCUGUCAGGCCGGUCAGUGGAGCGGCGAAGUGAUGGCGGUCACUUCGGCUCUGUCAGCUGGGGGGCGCGCGUCAGGAUAAAGGUGUCAGGCCACCUUUGCAUUAAAUGCUCCUGCGAUUUGGUCGGUCGGUGCGGCGAUUUGGUCAGGGUUGCUUUUUGGCGAAGACAGGGCCUCGGGCGAGCCGGAAAUAUGUUUGCCGCUGGAGGGGGGCCUCGGGCGAGACGGAGAUCCUCCGGGGUCGGCUGCCCUUGUCCGAGGCUAGGCUCGGGCGAGGCGUGAUCGAGUCCCUCGAAUGGACUGAUCCCUGACUUAAUCGCACCCAUCAGGCCUUUGCAGCUUUAUGCUGAUGGGGGUUACCAGCUGAGAAUUAGGAGCCUUGAGGGUACCCCUAAUUAUGGUCCCCGACAGUAGCCCCUGAGCCUCGAAGGGAGUGUUAGCACUCGCUUGGAGGCUUUCGUCGCACUUUUUUGCAAGGGGACCAGCCUUUCUUGGUUGCAUUUUGUUCCGGUGGGUGCGCGCGAGCGCACCCGCCGGGUGUAGCCCCCGAGGCCUCGGAGGAGUGGUUUCACUCCUCCGAGGUCUUAAUGCCUCGCGUAAUGCUUCGGCUGGUCUGGUCGUCCCUUAUGCGAGCUGGCCGUAGCCCGGGUGUACGGUCGGGUCCCAAGUUCUCGGGCUGGUAUGUUGACACUGUCAACGGUUCGGCCGGAGCCGGAUUUGCGAGAGCAGCCCCCGAGCCUCUGCACAGGGCGAGAGGGCGAUCAGGGACAGACUCGACUUUUUUACAUACGCCCCUGCGUCGCCUUUCCGCAAGGAGGAGGGGGGAAAGCGCCAUGUUGCCCUUGAUGGGCGCCGAACAUGGUGUCUCCGGUGAGCUACAAGCGGGUAAUCCGAGUGGACGUCCGUGCCCCGUUCGUUGGGGGUCGGCUAGGGGCCCAGAGGCACUCCCAAAAGUACUUGCGGGUGAUCUGCCGGUCCCGGUCCCCUGGCGACGGGGUCCGAGGGCUCGAUGCCUCCCUCUGAUGGGAUUCCGUUACAAGAUCGUUCCAGCUGGUCUCGGAAAUGUCCUAGGGUACCUCGGGAGCGCAGCCCGAGCCUUGGUUAUGUAUCGAACGUACCCAUGGUCAUCCCUCGCUCGGCGUCUGAGGCGGCUGUGAACCCUUUGGGGGCCAGCCUUCGAACCCCUAAUCAGUACUGGGCGCGGAGCCCGAGUAGCCUGAGGCGGCCGUUGAACCCUUCCGAGGGGCCGACCUUCGAACCUCUGACCAGUAGUGGGUGUAGGGCCCACGCGAUCUGAGGCGGCUGUCGAACCCUUCCGAGGGGCCAGCCUUCGAACCUCUGAUCAGUAGGGAGGCUCGGAGCCUGGUUCCUUCACGGGGAAGGAUCCUUUUCGGGGUAUCCCCCUUUCCCGGUCCCUGUUGCAAGAGAGAGAAAGAGGGAAAAAGGAAAAGGAUACGAAAUCGAACGAUGCGGCGUACCUUUUUUGACGCGGUCAUUAUGGCGAAGGCGAAGCAUCGCCCGCUUCUCCUGCCAGAGGCGCCGCCUGUCCCGCCGCGGAGUUAAUGCGACGGGGCGAGUGCUUGGCGUGGCGGCCGUUGCGCGUGCGCGAGCCGUUCGAGGAACGGUACACGGGCGCGUUGUCUUCACGCCGUGAGAGAGGGUUCUCUCGCUGCCCCCGGACGGGACGUGAGCUUGGCUGACGACGUGGCCGCUGCUCCUGCCCGCCUGCCACCGCCAUUACUGCCGGCCCAUUUUUGGCCGCAUUGACCGUCGCGCCAAGCUGGCGCUGCUGGGUCGUGCGCUGGGUCGCCUCGAGUCGCGGUAUUGGUUCCGCAGUCGAGGAGGCGCGGUAGUGGCGCAAGUGGCGGUGCAGUUGCAUGCACGAAGCAUUCGGCGCGCCGGUUGCAUGACGCGUGGGCCUGGGCCUCCAUGCUGGGCGUGUUGGGAGUCGGAGAAGUGCGCCCACUUGGCGUGGUUGCAUGCCGCCUGCAUGGCUGCCCGUCCCUUUCGCCCGUUGGUCUGGGCAAAAGUGGAGAGUCGCUUGUAACCGCUGGGCGGUUGUACGCACCGCGCACGACGGUUUGGCUUCUUCUGCUCUGAGCUGGCUUGCAUGACGUGUGGGACCCAGCCCCCGCGCCGCAGGGGAGGACCUUGGAGCGUGUUGGAGAAGACUCAGCCCGCGACGGCUGGGGACGCAAGUAGGGAGAGUCGCCUUUAAAAGGAGGGUGACCCCCUUGGAAGGCGACCAUGUCUUCGCGCUCCCUUAUGCAUCGUGUCUUUCCACCUUCCAAGCCCCCGGAUGGGGGAUACCCGCCGUCUUUCCGCCUCGUCGUUGGAAGAAUGCAACUCCGUGGGAGUUGGCACCUUUCAGCCAUCGUUCGGCUUCAAGGAUUUUCAUCAGACAGCCCGGUUGCACCCCUCCGCUGGUGGUCACCCAGAACGGUGACCUCCAGCCCCUGGAUGGGGAGAGGCAAACCGGGCUGUGAUCUUGGUCCUGCCCUCAGCCUCGAGGGUGUUCGUCAUCCUCGCUGGGGCAGGGAGCGAGGCGAGCCGGGGCUCUACCUCCCGCGCGGGCCGGCGGGCCACCUCUUCUUCCAGCUUUUGGUGGUGGCAACCAUCCUCCAGCUCUGCGGAGAAGACGUCCUCCAGCCAUGCCGAGGAAGGCGAACUAAUGCUGCCCAGCUAGGAUGCAACAUUCCGCCCUCUUCCUCGCUUUCGUGGCGAAGACGGGAGCGAGGAACUGCCGGUGCGCUUUGGAGCGGCCCGCUCUUUGGCUUUAAUAGCUGGUUCGCGUCCCUUGAGCGGGAACGCGAACGAGGGCCCUCCGGCGGCCGUGUCCGUCCUGGGACCAUGGCUGCUGCUGCAGAGGUCGCUGGCGGGUCCCCCGGUGCUCGUCGCCCCGCAGGCUCCCCGGUGUGGAGGUUGUUCAUACCCGCGGGAACGGAACCAGAGUUCCAUCUGUAAUGGCACUUCGAAUGCCAGUGUUUUUGUUCAUUGUGGCUGUCGAGGCCUGAACAUGUAUGUAAUUUCGGCACGGAGCCGUGUUUUUUCCUCAUUUUCGAGCAUUAAGACUCGCAUGUUGGUUGUCUGAACUGCUUCACCAAGCGUGAGUCGCCCCGGGUAAAGGUGACGAGUGAGGUAUCCAUAUCCUGGAGGCGUAGGAGUCCCUCGGCUCGGCCAGCCUUGUUGCCCGAGGCUUCUCUUGCUCAGUUAAAGGAACCCCUCGGCCGCUCUUCGAUGAGCCGAGGCCAGGGGUAGCGGUGUCAGCGGAACAGAGGCAGAGUUGGCUCGGUAAAAAGACCUGGUCGGCCGGAGCCUGGCCGGGUCGUCCGUUAGCGGGACCGACGCCAGAAUUGACCAACCGAGGCCUCGGGCUGGCGUCCUCGGAGGACAGUUGGCCGAGGCCCCAGGGUGACCGGCCGAGCCGCCUGCUCGGGCCGGAUUCUCGGAGAAGACCCUGGUGGCGAUGGCCCGGGCUUGGUGAUGACGUCGUCCUUCAGAGUGGAGAUCUUCGGACUGCGUCGCCGUCCGAGGCUAGGUCGGACCUCGCCGAAGGUGUUGUCGACGCCGAGGGUGCUGCUGCUCCCUUCAAGCGUCAAGACCCGAGCCUGCAGGAUCGGAUUGUCUUGUAGCGUGUGUUUCCUGCGGCCGCCGAGGCCAAAACACACCCUCGCUGUGUUGUAAAGCUGCGUCUCUUUUCCUCUUGUUUCGAGUAUCUAGACCUUUUUGUCGGUAACGGAAUUGCUUGUGCGAGCGAGGGUUGCUUCUCACGGAAGGUGAUGAGUGAGGUAUCCGUAUCUCGGAGGCGUAGGAGUCCCUCGGCUCUGUCGGCCUUGCCGCUUACGCGCACUCUUACCCGUCCAUGGGGUUCUGUCACCGACGCAGUCGAGAAGGCUCGAAGAAUCGCUCCGGCAGAAGAGCUUCCGAGCGUGAAGACUUGUUCGGUCCGCGGAAUCACUUAUCCGAACGUGAGUUACUUAUCGCAGAAGGUGAUGAGUGAGGUAUCCGUAUCCCGGAGGCGUAGGAGUCCCUCGGAUCGGUCAGCCUUGGCUACUUAUGUGUACUCCGUCAUUUUCAGGAUCCACUUUCGAAGUAGUCAAAAAGCACGAAAGACACCCUGGCAGAAAGGAUCUUUUUUUCGAGGAAAAAAUUCGAUGCAAAGGGGGUUCCCCCCUUUUAGCCCCUGAGGGAGGGUCGGGCUUUGCCGAGGCAAGGCUGACCCUUCCUUGAUGACUAAACUUUGUGUGGGAGCGAGAUAUAUGAACAACUUGAAAACAUCUUAAGGGUAGAAGCGACAUAGCUGUUGGAUGUUCCAAGCGUUGCUGUAGACCUCGCCUUGACUGUUGGCCAGCUUGUACGUUCCGGGCUUCAGAACCUUGGCGAUGACGAACGGCCCCUCCCAGGGGGGCGUGAGCUUGUGCCGCCCUCGGGCGUCUUGUCACAGCCGAAGCACCAGGUCGCCCACCUGGAGGUCUCGGGACCGGACCCCUCGAGCGUGGUAGCGUCGCAUGGACUGCUGGUACCACGCCGAGUGCAGUAAGUGUAACACCCGGAUUUUAGGGGUCCAAAACCCGGGGUUAACAUAAACACCAGGUAUGCUGGGACCAAGUCUCACACAUAUGAUGUAUAGUGGCACAGGAUCGAAUGUCACAUCUUUAUAUACAACAGGAGUUCUGUACAAAAUAAAUAAUUACAUUAUAAGGAGACAACGGUCCAGCAACCCAAAGUUGACUGGGAGACGACGACCUAGACCUCUCACGAACUCAUCACAGCAUCCUCCAUGAGCAUCAUCCUGCAGUACCUGGUCUUGACCUGUGGUGUAUGUGAGACAGCAAGAGUGAGCUCACAUACGUUCAUCGCUCAACAAGUUGUGGGGAAUAAUGUGCAUGAACUCGCCAAAGGUGGGAGCUCACGUGAAGUGUAAGGCUUACCAAAGAAGAUGGUUAGAGCUGAGCAUUGCUUUUAAAGUUGGUCAAAAUUUUAUUAGCAGUUACUAAGUAUAAGUAAAUACCAAACCCAAUUAAGUAAUAGAACAAAAGUAACCACAUCACCUGCAAUGCAAUGCAUAUGACAAAUUGAAUUUAGUUCCAUAAUUUAAUCAUGUGAGUGUCCGAGCCGCUCAUGACCGUGAGCACGGCUAGUAUACCAGUUUUACACUCUGCAGAGGUUGCGCAUCUUUACCCACAAGUCGUGUAUCCCAUGUCGCCAGGGUUUGCAAGGCCCUUAGACACUUCCGAGGUGAAUGGCUAGGGAUCCACUACGAGGCCUUUACAAAGUUCCACUAGCUUCCGAAAACCCGCUACAGUUUAUAGGAAGAUCCAGUACAGGAAUCCCUUGCAGGACCGCCAUCGCAGCAAAAUCCUCCCGAGGGCCUCCCCGCACUGACCUCUCCCCUACUGCCCUUGCCCCUUUCGGGUAAGGUAGUCUUCCACUAGCUUUCCUAAUUAAUCAGCCAAGGGCGUCCCAUUAAACCCCUGUGGUAGCACUGUUUUCCCGGGUGGUUCUCCAUGUUCCAAUUAACAUAAUGAUCUCAACAUGAACAAUAAAUAACAACUGAUAACAAAAAUGUAACCAUGGAUAGUGUAUCUCCAUACCCAAAACCACAUAUAGCACUAGCAAGUACUACCCAGAAAGUUCAGUGGUAAACAAGGUAUAAAGAUAGACAAACUAGGGUAACCUAUUGGGUCCCAUCAAAAUUAACCUAUGCAGAUCAUUAUGAUUAAUUAGAACAUGAGUAGGUAAAAAGAAGUGAUCAAGGGCACAACUUGCCUGGGCCUUGAGAAUCCAGGUACCAGGAUGAUCUUCAGGUGACACGUGACCUCACUGCUAGUCGUAGCAAUCCAAACAAACAUGGCAUAGGCAAAAUUAACAUUACACCAAACAUGCAAAUAGAAUAUCCAGUAAUAAACUAGACAUUAAAAUAAGAUCACAGGAAAAAGAAUUAUUAAUUUUGGAGUUAUAGAGUUCAAGUUAUGAAUUUCCUAUGAUUUAAGGUGAUUAUAAUAGGAUUACAUGAUAAAUUUAUUUUCUAACAGAGUUCAUGUCAAAACAGUGAUUCUAAAUGGUAGAGAAUAUUAUUACAAAAUUUUAGGAAUUGGAAUGACUCAAUUUGGAGCUAAAAUAAAUUUUCUAUGAAUUAUCUAAGUUCUAGCAAUUAUUUUCAUAUUAAAAAUCUAUUUUCUAUUUUAUUUAUUCAAUUUAAACGAGUUCUGGACUGGGCCUCAAUUAUAAGAAAGGUCAGGGGGCUCGGCGCAAGAAUUCCCAGACACAUAGAACCCCGAGGGUGGACCGCGGGUUUAUUUCAUAAAAGUUCAGGGUCUCUUAUGAAAAAGCGUCUGGCCGAAGGGGUAUCGGCCGAUCGUGGCCCUUAGAUUAGAAUCCUACGGCUGAGAUUAGAUCAAGCCGAGCUCGAACCGGUAUGCGAUAAUGGCUUUCGGAUCUAGAUCUAACGGCCGCGAUUUAAUGAAGCGCGAUCCGCCCGACUACCACACGAUCAGGCAUCAACGGCGCAGGAUCAAUCACGCGAAGGGUUACGCGUCGAUCAAAUCUGGGCCGCACGAUCACGAUCCAACGGUCAUCGCCUAUCUCCCCAAUUCUCAGCUCGGGACGGCGGCGAGCUAGCCGGACCAGGGCGGCGCCAUCGCCGGUGAAGCUCGAUUUGGCCAUACAGCGCACGAAAACUCAAUUAAAAACCGCUACACGAUGCCCUAAGUACACUGAGUGCAAUGGACUCGAAAUUACCCCGUGAUACGGUGCCGAAGAUCUUGGCCACGGCGCGCGGCGGAUUUGCAAGGACGGCGUCGAAUUCCCGGGGCCACGGUCGGGGAUUCCGCCCGGCUUCACGACGAACCGAUUCUUUGCGACCAUACAAGCGUCCGGGGCGAGGCAAUUGGAGCGGAGAGGCGCUGGUGCAGUGAUUCAACAAUGGCGGCGGCGAACUGGAUUUCGGCCCCUGGCGGCGCAAGGCUGUCGGUGCAAGGCGGAUGAGGAGGAAAGGAGGGGGCCGCGGCACUUUAUAUAGGCGCGACAUGGCCAGCUUCACCGGGAAAAGGGCGAAGUCCGCCGUAGAACACGCCGCGACGGUCGCGCGAUUCGUUGAAGACGCCGAGCGCGCGUACUAACGGCACGGCAGUGGCUGACGGGCAUGGCCCACAUGUCGGCGCGCGUCUGCGUAAGGGAGACGGGCCGCACGGCGUGAUUCCACGGGUGGGCCGGAAUUGACGCAGCUGGCCCAACUGGCUUUUAAUCCUUUUUUUUUCUAUUUUCUGUUUCUUUUCUUUUUCAAAUUCAAACUUCGAUUCAAAUUCAAACUUUGUGGCACUUUGUAUACUGGCUAAUUAUUUAUUUUGAUCACAUCAACUGUGGUGCAGUUAUUUUAAUGAUAAUUUUAUUUGUAUUGAAUAAUAUUCCUUUCUCUUCUCUAUUUUCAUGGUUUUAUUUUCAAGUUAAACUUUAAAUUCUAUGGAUCCCUUGAGAUGCUAUUAAUGGUAUAUUUAUUUUAUUAAGCACAAAUGCACAUCCAAAUAUAAAACUCAGCAUGAUGCAUAAAUUUUAAUGGUAUAUCCUUUUAUUACUUAUUUGUUUUUGAAUUUAGUGUUCACAUGUGAUGAUGCAUAAAGAUCAAGUUCACAUAUGAUGGUAAGUAGAAAUAACACACAUAUAGAUAAAGGAGUUAAUUUCUCCUCUUUCCUUAUAUGUUACAAACUGGGUGUUACAAAUCCUACCCCCCUUAAAAAUAAUCUCGUCCUCGAGAUUAAUAAGCAGAAGGGAUCCAACAAGCUUGGUUUGUAGUCUAUACUUUAGUUUCUAGUUGGUUUUAAUACCAAAAGAUUUGUUUUUUUUAAUAUCACAAAUUAUCAUGUGAUUAGGAAAGCAUGGGUAUAUAUAUAGCUACUUUAUUAUGUAGGAUAAAAGAUGUAUUCAAAGCAUGGAUAGGUUUGGGUAAGGUAAGGAAGGACUCCAUCCUAGAUUGUGGAUCUUGACUCAUCUUGGUGAUCCCGCUUGAUCCUUGAAGACUUGAGUUGGUGCUUAUACUUUCUUGAUGAGGUUGAUCAUCUUCGGUCUCCAAUCUUGGUAUCUCCAUCUGAGCUAGGGAGCUGUAGUUAAGAUGGCUAGGGUCUGUGGAUAGGACUUUUUUUUUAGGUUUACAUAGAUGGAUUAUGUAACUUAUUGGGAGUGUAUGGCUGAGUUGAUCUAUGGCACUAACUUAGGCUUAAGUGAAUUAGGAGUACGGUUUUAUCCUUUGUACCAGCAUUAAGAAUCACCCACAAGGUUAAUUCAUAAUAGAUUAGAUAGGGCCUAAUUUUUGUCGCCAACAUUAUCUAACUUAUUUAAGUAACUCAAAUUUGGAUUAGAUCAUGGUUGUUACACUAGCGUGGGAUAAAUAUGCUUAUUGGGGUAAGAUGAAUCCAUAAGGAUAAGGUAGAAUCUUUUGAGGUCAGAUAGAUCUAUUAGGAUAAGAUAAAUCUUUUCAAGAUAAGAUGAGAAUCUAUUUUUUUUAGGAUAAGAUGGAUCUAUAAGUGUAGGAUAGACUUUUUCAAGAUAAGAUGGAUUUUGCUAGGCUAGAUUCUUUGAUGAGGGAUAACCUAGUUCAUUUAGAUAUUUUUAUAACCGUUUUUUUUUCUAUAUGUAUAUGCAGAUGUGAUUGUGGACAUUACUCCACAACUAAUCACACUCAAUCAAAGAUCCAAAUCAAACAAGUAUCAUAAGAACAAACAUUCAAGCUUACAAAUACCUAUAAAAAUAGUUUUGUUUUUGUUCCUAAGAUUAGGUCGCCUAUUCCUAAAAGUCACUUUAGGCACAGGAUUUCAAAGUGUGAAGUCCACUUUUGUCUUUUAGAAAGAAAAGAUAAGAAUAAUCAGAGUAAAGCGGAAAUAGAUGAGAAAAGAUUAAGAUAAGUUUAGAGAAGAAUCAGAGUAGCAAAGGUAAGUAGAUAAUGGUUGUCCAGUUCUAUCUAGGUUUCGUCCUACAGUCAACAUUCCUCUGAUACCACUUCUGUAACACCCGGAUUUUAGGGGUCCAAAACCCGGGGUUAACAUAAACACCAGGUAUGCUGGGACCAAGUCUCACACAUAUGAUGUAUAGUGGCACAGGAUCGAAUGUCACAUCUUUAUAUACAACAGGAGUUCUGUACAAAAUAAAUAAUUACAUUAUAAGGAGACAACGGUCCAGCAACCCAAAGUUGACUGGGAGACGACGACCUAGACCUCUCACGAACUCAUCACAGCAUCCUCCAUGAGCAUCAUCCUGCAGUACCUGGUCUUGACCUGUGGUGUAUGUGAGACAGCAAGAGUGAGCUCACAUACGUUCAUCGCUCAACAAGUUGUGGGGAAUAAUGUGCAUGAACUCGCCAAAGGUGGGAGCUCACGUGAAGUGUAAGGCUUACCAAAGAAGAUGGUUAGAGCUGAGCAUUGCUUUUAAAGUUGGUCAAAAUUUUAUUAGCAGUUACUAAGUAUAAGUAAAUACCAAACCCAAUUAAGUAAUAGAACAAAAGUAACCACAUCACCUGCAAUGCAAUGCAUAUGACAAAUUGAAUUUAGUUCCAUAAUUUAAUCAUGUGAGUGUCCGAGCCGCUCAUGACCGUGAGCACGGCUAGUAUACCAGUUUUACACUCUGCAGAGGUUGCGCAUCUUUACCCACAAGUCGUGUAUCCCAUGUCGCCAGGGUUUGCAAGGCCCUUAGACACUUCCGAGGUGAAUGGCUAGGGAUCCACUACGAGGCCUUUACAAAGUUCCACUAGCUUCCGAAAACCCGCUACAGUUUAUAGGAAGAUCCAGUACAGGAAUCCCUUGCAGGACCGCCAUCGCAGCAAAAUCCUCCCGAGGGCCUCCCCGCACUGACCUCUCCCCUACUGCCCUUGCCCCUUUCGGGUAAGGUAGUCUUCCACUAGCUUUCCUAAUUAAUCAGCCAAGGGCGUCCCAUUAAACCCCUGUGGUAGCACUGUUUUCCCGGGUGGUUCUCCAUGUUCCAAUUAACAUAAUGAUCUCAACAUGAACAAUAAAUAACAACUGAUAACAAAAAUGUAACCAUGGAUAGUGUAUCUCCAUACCCAAAACCACAUAUAGCACUAGCAAGUACUACCCAGAAAGUUCAGUGGUAAACAAGGUAUAAAGAUAGACAAACUAGGGUAACCUAUUGGGUCCCAUCAAAAUUAACCUAUGCAGAUCAUUAUGAUUAAUUAGAACAUGAGUAGGUAAAAAGAAGUGAUCAAGGGCACAACUUGCCUGGGCCUUGAGAAUCCAGGUACCAGGAUGAUCUUCAGGUGACACGUGACCUCACUGCUAGUCGUAGCAAUCCAAACAAACAUGGCAUAGGCAAAAUUAACAUUACACCAAACAUGCAAAUAGAAUAUCCAGUAAUAAACUAGACAUUAAAAUAAGAUCACAGGAAAAAGAAUUAUUAAUUUUGGAGUUAUAGAGUUCAAGUUAUGAAUUUCCUAUGAUUUAAGGUGAUUAUAAUAGGAUUACAUGAUAAAUUUAUUUUCUAACAGAGUUCAUGUCAAAACAGUGAUUCUAAAUGGUAGAGAAUAUUAUUACAAAAUUUUAGGAAUUGGAAUGACUCAAUUUGGAGCUAAAAUAAAUUUUCUAUGAAUUAUCUAAGUUCUAGCAAUUAUUUUCAUAUUAAAAAUCUAUUUUCUAUUUUAUUUAUUCAAUUUAAACGAGUUCUGGACUGGGCCUCAAUUAUAAGAAAGGUCAGGGGGCUCGGCGCAAGAAUUCCCAGACACAUAGAACCCCGAGGGUGGACCGCGGGUUUAUUUCAUAAAAGUUCAGGGUCUCUUAUGAAAAAGCGUCUGGCCGAAGGGGUAUCGGCCGAUCGUGGCCCUUAGAUUAGAAUCCUACGGCUGAGAUUAGAUCAAGCCGAGCUCGAACCGGUAUGCGAUAAUGGCUUUCGGAUCUAGAUCUAACGGCCGCGAUUUAAUGAAGCGCGAUCCGCCCGACUACCACACGAUCAGGCAUCAACGGCGCAGGAUCAAUCACGCGAAGGGUUACGCGUCGAUCAAAUCUGGGCCGCACGAUCACGAUCCAACGGUCAUCGCCUAUCUCCCCAAUUCUCAGCUCGGGACGGCGGCGAGCUAGCCGGACCAGGGCGGCGCCAUCGCCGGUGAAGCUCGAUUUGGCCAUACAGCGCACGAAAACUCAAUUAAAAACCGCUACACGAUGCCCUAAGUACACUGAGUGCAAUGGACUCGAAAUUACCCCGUGAUACGGUGCCGAAGAUCUUGGCCACGGCGCGCGGCGGAUUUGCAAGGACGGCGUCGAAUUCCCGGGGCCACGGUCGGGGAUUCCGCCCGGCUUCACGACGAACCGAUUCUUUGCGACCAUACAAGCGUCCGGGGCGAGGCAAUUGGAGCGGAGAGGCGCUGGUGCAGUGAUUCAACAAUGGCGGCGGCGAACUGGAUUUCGGCCCCUGGCGGCGCAAGGCUGUCGGUGCAAGGCGGAUGAGGAGGAAAGGAGGGGGCCGCGACACUUUAUAUAGGCGCGACAUGGCCAGCUUCACCGGGAAAAGGGCGAAGUCCGCCGUAGAACACGCCGCGACGGUCGCGCGAUUCGUUGAAGACGCCGAGCGCGCGUACUAACGGCACGGCAGUGGCUGACGGGCAUGGCCCACAUGUCGGCGCGCGUCUGCGUAAGGGAGACGGGCCGCACGGCGUGAUUCCACGGGUGGGCCGGAAUUGACGCAGCUGGCCCAACUGGCUUUUAAUCCUUUUUUUUUCUAUUUUCUGUUUCUUUUCUUUUUCAAAUUCAAACUUCGAUUCAAAUUCAAACUUUGUGGCACUUUGUAUACUGGCUAAUUAUUUAUUUUGAUCACAUCAACUGUGGUGCAGUUAUUUUAAUGAUAAUUUUAUUUGUAUUGAAUAAUAUUCCUUUCUCUUCUCUAUUUUCAUGGUUUUAUUUUCAAGUUAAACUUUAAAUUCUAUGGAUCCCUUGAGAUGCUAUUAAUGGUAUAUUUAUUUUAUUAAGCACAAAUGCACAUCCAAAUAUAAAACUCAGCAUGAUGCAUAAAUUUUAAUGGUAUAUCCUUUUAUUACUUAUUUGUUUUUGAAUUUAGUGUUCACAUGUGAUGAUGCAUAAAGAUCAAGUUCACAUAUGAUGGUAAGUAGAAAUAACACACAUAUAGAUAAAGGAGUUAAUUUCUCCUCUUUCCUUAUAUGUUACAAACUGGGUGUUACAGUAAGGCCCUAUCCCGAGCCUCUUCCAGCUGGUCCAGCGAGUCUUCUCGACUAGCUUGGUUGCUUUGGUCGGCAUAGGCCCUUGUCCUCGGGGAGCCAUAUUCCAGGUCUGUGGGCAAGAUGGCCUCGGCCCCAUAGACCAGAAAGAACGGCGUGAAGCCCGUGGCUCGGCUCGGCGUUGUCCUCAGACUCCAGACCACCGAGGGGAGUUCCUUCAUCCAUCGCUUGCCGAAUUUGUUGAGGUCGUUGUAUAUCCGAGGCUUGAGCCCUUGUAGAAUCAUACCGUUGGCACGCUCUACUUGCCCAUUUGACAUGGGGUGAGCUACGGCGGCCCAGUCCACCCGGAUGUGGUGAUCCUCGCAGAAGUCCAGGAACUUUCUGCCGGUGAACUGGGUGCCGUUGUCGAUGAUGAUGGAGUUCGGGACCCCGAAACGACGGAUGAUGUUGGUGAAGAACGUCACCGCCUGCUCGGACCUGAUGCUGUUUAGGGGUCGGACCUCGAUCCACUUGGAGAAUUUGUCGAUGGCGACCAACAGGUGCGUGUAGCCCCCGGGUGCCUUCUGCAAGGGGCCGACGAGGUCCAGACCCCAUACAGCAAAAGGCCAGGUGAUGGGUAUCGUCUACAGAGCCUGAGCGGGCAGGUGGGUCUGCCUUGCAUAGAACUGACACCCUUCGCAGGUGCGGACAAUUCUAGUGGCGUCGGCCACCGCCGUCGGCCAGUAGAAGCCUUGUCGGAAAGCAUUCCCGACAAGGGCUCGAGGCGCCGCGUGAUGGCCGCAAGCCCCCGAGUGUAUCUCUCGCAGGAGUUCCUGACCUUCGGCGAUGGAGAUGCAUCGCUGGAGGAUGCCAGAGGGGCUGCGGUGGUAGAGCUCCUUCUCAUCUCCCAGCAAGACGAAUGACUUGGCGCGCCGCGCCACCCGCCGAGCUUCGGCUCGGUCGGAGGGUAGCUCUCCUUGGUGGAGAUAUUGCAGGUACGGGGUCUGCCAGUUUUGAUCAGGCGUGACCCCGCUUUGCUCCUCCUCGACGCGCAGCGUCUCGCCCUCGAGGGCCGAGGGUACCUCGGGCCGAACCGAGGGUGCCUCGGACUGAGCCGAGGGUGCCUCAGGCCGAACCGAGGGUGCCUCGGGCUGAACCGAGGGUGCCUCGGGCUAUGCCGAGGGUGCCUCAGGCUCGGGCGUGUCAUCGAUCUUGACGGAGGGUUGAUGCAGGUCUCGGGAGAAGACGUCCAGGGGAACCGUUGUUCGCCCCGAGGCUAUUUUAGCCAGCUCAUCCGUGGUCUCGUUGUAGCGCCGGGCGAUGUGGUUGAGCUCGAGCCCGUAGAACUUGUCUUCCAGGCGCCGAACCUCAUCGCAGUAGGCCUCCAUCUUCGGGUCGCGGCAGUGGGAGUUCUUCAUGACUUGGUCGAUGAUGAGCUGCGAGUCACCGCGAGCGUCGAGGCGUCGGACCCCUAGCUCGAUGGCGAUCCUCAACCCGUUGACCAGAGCCUCAUACUCGGCCACAUUGUUGGACGCCGGGAAAUGGAGGCGUAGCACAUAGCGUAUGUGCUUCCCGAGGGUCGAGAUGAAGAGUAGGCCUGCGCCGGCUCCUGUCUUCAUCAGCGACCCGUCGAAGAACAUGGUCCAGAGCUCCGGCUGGAUCGGAGCUGUUGGGAGCUAAGUGUCGACCCAUUCAGCUACGAAGUCCGUCAAGACCUGGGACUUGAUGGCCUUUCAAGGAGCGAACGAGAUUGUCUCGCCCAUGAUUUCCACCGCCCACUUUGCAAUCCUACCCGAGGCCUCCCGGCACUGGAUGAUCUCCCCCAGGGGGAAGGAUGACACCACAGUUACCGGAUGAGACUCGAAGUAGUGUUGCAGCUUCCGCCGUGUUAGGAUCACCGCGUACAGCAGCUUCUGAACUUGGGGGUAGCGGAUCUUGGUUUUGGACAGUACCUCACUGACGAAGUAGACCGGCCUCUGAACGGGCAAUGCAUGCCCCUCUUCUUGCCUCUCGACCACAAUCGCGGCGCUAACCACCUGAGUGGUCGCGGCGACGUAGACCAAGAGGGCUUCUCCGGCAGCCGGGGGCACCAAGAUAGGCGCCUUCGUGAGGAGCGCCUUCAGGUUCCCGAGGGCUUCCUCAGCCUCAGGGGUCCAAGUGAAGCACUCGGCCUUCCUUAAGAGGCGGUACAGAGGUAGACCUCUUUUGCUGAGGCGUGAGAUGAAGCGGCUCAGAGCCGCGAGACAUCCCAUGACCCUCUGUACGCCUUUCAAGUCUUUGAUGGGCCCCAUGCUGGUGAUGGCCGCGAUCUUCUCCGGGUUGGCUUCGAUGCCCCGCUCGGAGACGAUGAACCCCAAGAGCAUGCCUCGGGGCACCCCGAAGACACACUUUUCGGGAUUGAGCUUGACGCCUUUCGCCUUGAGACAUCGAAAUGUCACUUCAAGGUCGGAAAGGAGGUCAGAGGCUUUCCUCGUCUUGACUAUGAUGUCAUCGACGUAGGCCUCGACCGUGCGGCCAAUGUGUUCGCCGAACACAUGGUUCAUUAUGGCGAAGGCGAAGCAUCGCCCGCUUCUCCUGCCAGAGGCACCGCCUGUCCCGCCGCGGAGUUAAUGUGACGGGGCGAGUGGUUGGCGGGGUGGCCGUUGCGCGUGCGCGAGCCGUUCGAGGAACGGUACACGGGUGCGUUGUCUUCACGCCGUGAGAGAGGGUUCUCUCGCUGCCCCGGACGGGACGUGAGCUUGGCUGACGACGUGGCCGCUGCUCCUGCCCGCCUGCCACCGCCAUUACUGCCGGCCCAUUUUUGGCCGCAUUGACCAUCGCGCCAAGCUGGCGCUGCUGGGUCGUGCGCUGGGUCGCCUCGAGUCGCGAUAUUGGUUCCACAGUCGAGGAGGCGCGGUAGUGGCGCAAGUGGCGGUGCAGUUGCAUGCACGAAGCAUUCGGCGCGCCGGUUGCAUGACGCGUGGGCCUAGGCCUCCAUGCUGGGCGUGUUGGGAGUCGGAGAAGUGCGCCCACUUGGCGCGGUUGCAUACCGCCUGCAUGGCUGCCCGUCCCUUUCGCCCGUUGGUCUGGGCAAAAGUGGAGAGUCGCUUGUAACCGCUGGGCGGUUGUACGCACCGCGCACGGCGGUUUGGCUUCUUCUGCUCUGAGCUGGCUUGCAUGACGUGUGGGACCCAGCCCCCGCGCCGCAGGGGAGGACCUUGGAGCGUGUUGGAGAAGACUCAGCCCGCGACGGCUGGGGACGCAAGUAGGGAGAGUCGCCUUUAAAAAGAGGGUGACCCCCUUGGAAGGCGACCAUGUCUUUCUGUCAGGCCGGUCAGUGGAGCGGCGAAGUGACGGCGGUCACUUCGGCUCUGUCAGCUGGGGGGGCGCGUCGGGAUAAAGGUGUCAGGCCACCUUUGCAUUAAAUGCUCCUGCGAUUUGGUCGGUCGGUGCGGCGAUUUGGUCAGGGUUGCUUCUUGGCGAAGACAGGGCCUCGGGCGAGCCGGAAAUAUGUUCGCCGCUGGAGGGGGGCCUCGGGCGAGAUGGAGAUCCUCCGGGGUCGGCUGCCCUUGUCCGAGGCUAGGCUCGAGUGAGGCGUGAUCGAGUCCCUCGAAUGGACUGAUCCCUGACUUAAUCGCACCCAUCAGGCCUUUGCAGCUUUAUGCUGAUGGGGGUUACCAGCUGAGAAUUAGGAGCCUUGAGGGUACCCCUAAUUAUGGUCUCCGACACUACUCGCAUUUUCCUGAGGGGGCACUGGUUCGAAUUUUCUCAUGGCCAUGUUUUUUUUAAUUUUAGUUAGGUGUGGGCUGUGAGGCUACCCUUGCAGGCUUAAUAAGUAGUAGAGAUUCGUGAUCUUGAUAUCUAAGUUGGUUGUAUCUCACAUCUUGAACUUUUGCGUAAUUUAUAGAUCUUCAACAUAACAUUUUAUACAAUUGACAACCGGCCAAACAAGUUUUAGAGCACACGAUUGGUGUUAAAGAGCUGUAACAACUCAUAAUUAGACGUGAGGAACACCUUAGGCAACUAUAAUCUGUCUCAUUAAGUAGAGAAACUAUUUUGGAAUGAAACUAACUUGAGUGAUAAGGUUGUAACUCGUUAUUGUUACCUAACUUGUUCAUCUUAGAGAUAUUCCUAUCACUUUUCUGCAUGAGUUGUUUUUAUAAAUUAAUAGGUUUCUAACUUACCUUGUAUUACAUGGAUAGAUAGAUGUGGGACAAGUGAUGGCCAUUGAUUAGUGGACUAUAUGGCUAGAGAUGAAAACAUUUUCAGAAUUUUUCGGUAUUCCGGAAACCGAUUUCAAAAUUUUUCGAUCGGAUUCACUGGUAACGGUAUUUUUCGAAAACGGAAUCAGUUUUCGAAAUUUUCUAUCGGAAUUGGUGUGGUGUUUUACCGACCGUUUCCUUCGGUUACCGGUUUUUUGUCGAAAAUUAACGGAUUUUUGUCUCGGAAUUUUUUGGAAUUGUGUCUUAGAUUUUUUCGGAAUUUUCCAGCAUGUGAUUUUUCGCAUCACCUGUACGUCUCUAGAUAAGUAUUACUUAUUUUUGUAUUUUUUUUGGACGCAUUAAGAUUUUUUGGGAUAGAUGGUGUUGGAAGGCAGUUGGGAUUAACGAUUUGGUCUCUCGAACGAAUCCACUCUUUUCUAUGCACAUGUUAUGUAUUAGUAAUAUCUAAUAGGGUUGAAAACGGACGGAAAAAAUCCUGUCUCGACCCGUACCGUUUUCUACAUUUCACCCGACCAUUUCCGUAUUUACAGAAAAAACAUGGAAACGAGAUGGAAACAGGAGAUGGCUUAUUCCGUCCGUUUUUGCGGGAUCCCGUUUUUUUCCUGAUUGAACCCGUAUUUAUUCCGUAUUUGACAAAUAUGGGACGAGCCUACUAUGCAUUAGUAUACAAACUAAAUCCUCGUGUAUUUAGGUGACAAAUUAUAGCACAAUUGACCAUUGUAACCACCGGCUCUUUUCAAAUGACAAGUGAUCUAAAGUUUUAAACAACAUCAGAUGUAGCUAAAUGUACAUAUUUAGCAACCAAACAACAAUAGAAUGUUGCCUCUCUAUAUCUAUUUGUUUUAUAUUAUUGUUCUGCCAAUCAAUCACUAGUCAAACAUCAGUAACAUUUCUAUUUGUAUUAAAUUAUGAGUUUCCGUUAGUAUUUCCGUUUCCGUUCGUUUUCGCAAUUCCGUUUAUCCCGCUCACGUUUCCGUUCCCGACUAUUCCGGACCCGAUCUCGUUUCCGAUGAUAAAAUGCGGAUACAGAAACAUGAGAGGGGUUUUUCCGUCCGUUUCCGUCCGUUUUCAUCCCUAUAUAUAAUGAUAGAGAGCCGAUAGUCUGCUUUUUCCACACUAGAUUUUAGGGUUUUCCUGUGAGGCUGUGAAAAAAUCUUUAUGUGAGGAAAAAAUAUUUCAUGAGUAAGCAUGCCAUGUCAGCUAGAUCGAGUGGAUAUUGUGAAUCGUAAACUUUGAGUCUAUGAACUUGUGAUCUUUAUAAACUUGUUAUAUUGUGAACCUGCUAUAUUGUGAACUUGUGAUAUUUGCGAACUUUUUAUACUAUAAAUUUGUGAUCCUUGUGAACUUGUUAUAUUGUGAACUUGUUAUAUCAUGAAAUGUGAACUUGUGGUCAUUGUGACAUUUUGUCAACUUUGCUGUAUUGUGAAGUUUGAUAUGUUUACCGAUCGUAUUUUAGAUUUCGAUCGUUACUGGUGUAUUUUUUACACCAAACUUUCGUUUCCGAUGUAUCCGAAAUACCGAUAUCGUUUCCGUUUCUAGAGUUACCGUUUUCGAUUUUGUUUCCGAUAAAAAAAUAUAAAAAUGGUAAUGGUUUUAGUGUUUACCGACUGUGUCCGACCGUUUUCAUCCCUAUAUAUGGCCACGAAUUAGACUAUUCAUGUCUUAGCCAUCUAAAAAUUCUUUCAGUGUUCUAUCGUCGACCUUCCUUGUAAGCCCCUGUUUGUUUCGGCUUUUCGCAGCUUCUGGCCACCAAAAGCCGCUGCGGACUACCAAACACUCAGCUUUUCAGUCAGCUUCUAUAAAAAUUGUUUGGGUAAAAACCAUCCAAAAUCAACAUAAACAUAUAAUCGGUUGAGUCGUCGCAAUAGUAGUAAUCCGUCACUUUAUAGAUCCUGAGCUCAUGGACAACUUUAUCUUUGUCCGCACGUAAUUCUAAUGAUACUCAGAUUCUCUACACAACCAGAUUCUCCCUACAACUAGAUUCUCGGAAAAGCUGGGCAGAAAAAAGCUGAACCAAACAGACCCUAAAUCAUUUCCUUUAAUAAGUUGAAUGUUUCCGUUAUGUUUCAUUAAGACUUACAUUAUUUUUGUAAUAUAUAACUUAUGUCAUACUACGUAUACACUUAGAGUUGUCAUUAAUAAUAUCAUUAUAUAUAUGUGUGUGUAAAACCGAUACUGACGCACAGUAUAUCUUUACAACAGGAUGUGACAAAGGUCACUGCCUCUGUGUUUGAGGAAUCAGAUCCUCUACAGUCGAGGUUCUUGACCUGUCUCUACAGUUGGUCUAAUCCAACCAUCAAGCAGCAAUCCUACGGCACCCUCCCGCACAGCUUCUCUCCUGACCGAGACGUGCGGCUUGGCUCACGCGAGAGCCGUGCCCAACACUGGGCCUCGGCCCAACAGCGCUGGGACUCCUCAUCUUUUACCGCGAAAACAACGCAUUUUGGCGGGCACCUCGCGUUUUACGAGCUAUGGGCGGCGGCGAUUAGGCUGCUUGUCAUUCAUCAAACACAUGUGAGUUAAUCUCGUUUUUCUUCUUCGCGACUUGAUUGUUUUCAGCAAACUCUACUAUGUGUGCUCUGAUUUGAUUGUAUUCCACCUCACUUGUAUGCUCUGAUUUAAUUGUAUUCCACCUCACCUCAUUAGACUGUGUUGGAAUUCAUCGAAGGAAACCUAGAGCAAAGUUAAAUCUGCAUAUUUGAGAUGGAAGAAAAUAGGUAUGCGAAGCCAUGGUUGUUACUUUUUCACUAGAUCAGAUAGAUUUUAUUUGUUCAAUGACCAGCAGAUUUUUUUUGUUCCUGUAGAGUGGGUGUGCUGCCUUGUUUGAUACCUGAAGUUGGCAUGGAGUUCAAUACUAUUGAUGAGGCUUGGAUGUUUUGGAUUGCCUAUGGAGGUCAAAAAGGGUUUGAGGUUAGAAAAAGCUACACAAACAAAAGAAAAUCUGAUGGGAAGAUUAGGUCCUGCAGAUAUGUUUGUGCAAAAGAGGGUCACAGAAAAAAAGAUAAAAGGGAUUAUCUAACAAAGUGUCCAAGAGCUGAAACCAGAACCGAUUGUCAAGUUCGCAUGGGUGUUGUACUAGAUCAAGAGAAGGAGAAAUAUAAAGUUGCUGAUCUAGUUUUGGAACACAAUCACAUCCUUCAGUUGCUAGAAACGUCGCAUUUGAUGGUGUCUCAAAGGAAAAUUUCAGAGUUACAAGGUUUUGAAAUUGAGACAGCCGAUGAUGCGGGAAUUGGGCCCAAAGCGGCACAUGAGUUGGCUAGUAUCCAAGUUGGUGGUUCAAUUAAUCUUAGUUACACCCUUCGUGACCACAAGAAUUAUUUACGGGGCAAACGCCAACGAGAGAUGGCAUAUGGUCAAGCAGGAAGCAUGCUCAUGUAUUUUCAAAACAAAAUUGCUGAUAACCCAUCAUUCCAAUAUGCAUUGCAGAUGGAUAGUGAGGAACAAAUAGCAAACAUAUUUUGGGUUGAUGCCAAAAUGAUUACUGACUUUGCACAUUUUGGUGAUGUUAUCAGCUUUGACACUACUUUUGGAACAAACAAGGAAAGCAGACCUUUUGGUGUAUUUGUUGGGUUCAAUCAGUUCAGGGAAACUGUGGUUUUUGGUGCUGUUCUCAUGUACGAUGAGACAUUUGAGUCUUUCAAGUGGUUAUUUGAGACCUUUCUAAAAGCGCAUAAUGACAAGCAACCUAAAACAAUCUAUACUGAUCAAGAUGCUGCAAUGGCAAAAGCAGUUAAGGAAGUAUUUUUAGAAGCAUGGCAUGGUUUGUGCACUUUUCAUAUUAUGCAGAAUGCUGUCAAACAUCUAUUUGAAGCUGGCGAUGAAGAAUCUAGUACUUCUCCCAAACAGACAAUAGAAGAAAAUGACAAAGAACCAAGUAUUCUUGCAUAUUUUAGUGCAUGUAUGUUUGAGUACGAAGAUGAGGAAACAUUUGAACAAGCAUUUAACGUCAUAAGGGAAAAGGCGAGCAAGCAAAGUUGGUUGGAUAGUAUAUACAAGGUGAAAGAAAAAUGGGCUGAAUGUUACAUGAAGGAUGUGUUCACAUUAGGUAUGAGAAGUACACAAUUGAGUGAGAGUCUAAAUAGUGAGCUGAAGAGACAUUUCAAAUCUGAUUUUGAUAUCAUUCGAUUUCUUAAGCAAUUUGAAAGGGUGGUGGAAGAUAAGAGAAAAAAUGAGCUAAAUGCUGAAUUUGAAUCAAGGAAGAAAAUACCAAGAAUCAAAAUGAGGACACCUAUGCUAAUCCAAGCUAGCAAGUUGUACACGCCAGUUAUAUUCGAGGCUUUUCAAAGUGAGUAUGAAAGGUCCAUGGUAGCAUGCACCUCGGCAUUGGACGACAACAAUAGCUAUCUUGUGGCAAUUGGCAGUCUUGAUGGAAAUUUUACCUUUGAGAAGGAGUACAAAGUUUUUGGUAAUUCUUUAGAGCAAACUAUUACAUGCAGUUGUGGGUUAUUCAGUAGAACUGGAAUAUUGUGUGGCCAUGCUUUAAAAGUCCUUGAUUUGAUGAAUAUCAAAUCUCUGCCAUCACAAUAUGUACUGAAGCGAUGGACACGUGCAGCACGUUGUGGGACAGUACAAGACAACCAUGGACGAAAUAUUAUAGAGAAUCCAAGAUUAAAUGAGAUGGCUCGCUACAAAGAUAUGACCCGCAAAUUUCUCAAUUUGGCACUUCGAGCUGCUAGCCAUCAAGGAUCUACCUUGUUAGUAAACAACACACUUGACAUCCUGAACAAACAAGUUGAAGAAGAAAUAAAUGCAAGUACUGAUAAAACUGUUUCGAUCACUACUCCCACAAAUGUUAGUCCUCCAAAUGAUUUGGUGAGUGCAGCACGCCUUAAGAAAAAGGAGGUGGAAACAAAAACCUCGAAGCGCAAAAAAAAUUGGCUUGACAAGCUGCACAAAUCUGGAAAGAAGGGAAGUAAGAAGGGAGGUAACAAAAAGAAAACUGCUGCAAAGGUAUGUGAUAACAGAACAUAUAUUUGAUUCUCUUUCACUGUGUUCCAUGGGAAAAUGUUAAAUUUUAUUUCUUUUAUUUGAAGGAACAAGAAACUGCAAAGAAAGGAGGUAAGAAAAAGGAAAAAGAAGCUACACCUAGUACUUCUUUGCCCAUGGAACAGAUGUCUGAAUCAUACAUGGCCAUCAAUACCUUCUCUCAGAUAUUGACGGUAAUAUUUCAAACUAAUACACCAUUUUUUGUAUACCAUACAUUGCCAUCAAUACAUUCUUUCAAUUGUGCAUCUGAACCUUUUAUUUUGCAGGGGGCACUCACAGAUGAUGUUCUUGCUGAUUUCUAGUAGUAUGGAUAUUUCCUGUAAUUUGAAUGUCUUUUGGAUAAUAGAUUGGCGAGCCUGUCGGGCACGGCUCUCGCACAAGCCAAGCCGCGCGUCUCGGUCAGGAGAGAAGCCGUGCGGGAGGGUGCCGUAGGAUUGCUGCUUGAUGGUUGGAUUAGACCAACUGUAGAGACAGGUCAAGAACCUCGACUGUAGAGGAUCUGAUUCCGUGUUUGAGGGAGCAUAUAGAAACUUUGAUGGGCUUGGGCUCAGCAAAAAACCAUAUGAACCCAAGGGGGCUACCACCAUAGUCCAUCACAAAAAAAAAAACCCAGACAUCUGGAGAGCCACUUGGAACUUGGAACUGCGUUGAACCCGCGCCCUCAAGGCAGGGAUACAACAGGCCCACGAAGUCGGGGUCUAUUGGCAGCCACGUCUCACCUGGCCGAAAAGCGUCGAGCAGCCCACGUUUGAGGUCGUGCCAAGUCCGACCCCACUUACCAUCACGAGCCGUGCCACGUGUGUACCCACGCAGAAGCAGUUACCCUCUCGUAUCGUCCCGGGCUCCUCUCAAAAGAUCACAGAGAGAGAAAACGAAACGCCGCUCCCUCGCCUCAUCCCUUCCCUCCUCCUGCAUCCUACCUCCCUGGUGCCCGUCACGUUCACCACGUUCGCCCGCUCAUUCACCGGCGGCGUCGCCCAGCUCGGCCUCCCGCCGCCCACGGAGGCCAGGUCCCCGGGCCGCCCGCUCGGUCCGCCACGGAGGCAAGGUAACCGGCGCCUUUCUCUCGAUCGAUCGAUCGUUUGUCCCGCGCCGAUCGGCCGAGCACGCCAUUGCGUGUCGGCGCGGCACUUUUUUCAUUCCUCUUUGGCCCCCGCAACCGCCUGCACGGUCGCGGCGCCCAUGGUUCCCUUACGCACGGCUGCAGGCACCCGGCGUCGCCCACCCUCCAGUCGGCGCCGUCCCUUCCAUCGGCGCAUCAGGCGCCGCCGCGCUAGGCGCCCCUGCGCCCGCUCUCCCUGCCAUCGAUCCGCCGCCGUAGGGGAUAGCUGGGCCACGGGCCUGGCUCCCCACCGCCGAUCAGCCGUCGUCGCGCUCCCCUGGCCACCCCUGCUUCGACACGGGCAUCCUUCCCCUUCCGCUCCCUCUUCUCCUUUGCCCCCAUGGGGGGAAGCAGCCUGGGCCGCCACCAGUGUCAGACGCAGAACAAAUUUUAGGUCGGACGACACCAUAAGAGACAAAUUACGGUACUAGACUACUAGAUAAAAAUAGCUUAAUGAUAAUAACGUGGAGGCUAGGUGAUAAUAUUAGGGGCAUUCCAAAAUGAUAUGAAUACCAAAAAAAUCUUUUGGCCACCCUAGGGAAAGGCGGGGAGAGGGAAAGGGGUGGGCCAACAAGGGGAGAGCGGAGAGCGCCAGGGUGAAGCGGCCGCAUCGACGUGGCGAGUCGGCGAGUCUGCCACAAGAUGGCGACGAUGAGGCAGAAACAUGUGAGGUGUAGCGAGGGCAAGAGGCGGUAGGCGGUGGCAAGCGACAACAAUUGUUGCAUUGCGACGACGUGGUGGGGCCCAGUGACAUAGUGAGGGCAGAUGGCGGUGGCACCGUGGUGCCAAGGCAGGAUCCCACCAAUAGCCCGUCUUCCUGUCGAUGCGGACUAGGAGGCAAAGUAGUGACGCUGCGUGCAGGAUCUCGACAACGCAAUGAGCUGACGAGUGACGGGAAGACAAGGUGGCAUUGGUAGCGGACGGGUUAGGUCACCCACUACCGAUCAGUCAUGACCGAAGGAGCGACCGAGCCACGAGUAGCUAGCCGCUAGGGGAAGGAAUCGAACGACUCGAAUGGAGAGCAGGC